AUUGGCGAAUGGCCUGCGAUUGGUUAAAUAAGCCAGUGCUUGCCUUGCAUUGUAUCUAUUUACAAGCGUUGUGCAAUGAACUUUGACUUGCCUUUUUCUAGCCCUCCGUAAGAACCACUGACUCAUUCCUUUCGCUUGCUAUCCGUCUUAAGCAAACAAAAAGAAUGAGUCAGCGGCAACUACAGAAGAUGUUGCCUAUCCUAGGCAUAGAAACAGAGUCCUAGGCUCAUUUUCAGCUGCAGUGCCGUAAUGAACUGCUACCUCUGGUCGUGUGCUGCAAUCAAUUUCAUUAUCUCAGAUAGCCAAUCGUACAAGAGCAUUCCUUUGACCAAUAACACCGGCGGAUUUUCUAGACUAGACCAAUCGUGUAUAGACUAGCCCCUGUGGUUACCUGUCUGAAACCCCAAAGUGUCGCGUCGUUCGUCUGCCAGCCGUCUGAUGUGACAGACAUACCUCGCAACUCCCAUUACAAAAGGGCAGCACGACCGCUGUGAAUCCUUUGUACUUCAAGCCGUGUCUAACCCAAGACAACAGGAUCUUAUUGGUGCCAUCAAGACGGAUCAACUGCAGCUGCAAUGUUCAUGUUGGGACUUAUCCCGGUGAGAGGUUGUCCGAUGCCAUCUCCACGGCUAGCUGUACGGUGACGUCCAGGAGAUCGGUGCUCGUGUGAAAGCCCUGUCGGAGGACCCGAAACUAAGAUCUUAUUGGUACCAUCGAGCCCGGAUCAACCAGAGGACCUGAAACUAAGUUAAGUUGUUAUUUGUCUUAUGGGGUGUGAAAUGGAAACAUAUUGCAGAGGUGGGCUGGGACUAACUUGUCAUCGGCAUGAUAGGAAGUAUAUAAUUUGUGAGGUUACUUUAACUUUAAAAAAUCUCUUGGUUGAUGGUAAGGCGCUUGAGUGUGUUUUGUUGACAUCUCGAGUGAUGAUGCAGGUAGGGGUUUAUAUCAGGACAUUUUGUAAAUGGAAGCUCCUUUUGCACUCAGGUCUUCGGCCCGUUUCUGUGUUGUACAGGCCUGGUGUGUGGCUGAUUUGGUUUCUGUGACUGUGUCGAUGGCCGGGAUUGUAUUCGGCCAGUUACUGUAAAUUCUGUUUUUUUUUAAACAGGGACUUCCCUGAUUCACCAUCUGUUGUCAUUUCUGUUUUAUGUCGUGGUCAGUGGUUGUCGGGAACCUAGACCAUUACAUAAUCUGCCCUGUGUCGUUAUCUUGGGUCCCGAACCAAGAGAACGACACAGGACAGAAAGGAAAACAGGUGGCUGAAGAGCCUAUUUAAUAUCAAUAGCACUAGACUUCUCGGCGUCGACACAGUUACAGAAACCAAAUCAGCUAUUCAAUGGGCUUGUAUAAGGCAGAAACAGACUGAAGCCAUUACUCUCAAAAUUGUAACCAAAACAAACGGCAGCAUUACUUGGAAUUUCAGCAAAGCGCACUCUUGCGCUUUCCAUCAUUCAAGAGAUCAUGAUUAUUCCCGCUAUUUCUAUGUUAAACCAAGAACUGAAAUUACAAUCACAAAUCAAGUUAACUUCCUGUCAUGCCUCAUUCACAUAGCUAAGCUUACUUUAAGUAUUAGGUAUAGUCUUUACCAUAUUUCUUGGUGAAGUUUCAUUUUUGUCUCGUCUUUUAUACUGAGGAUCAUCGUACCGUAAGAAGAAAUGUCUGGACGCGGAAAGGGUGGCUAGGGUUGGCGAAGGAAGGUGCCGAACGUGAACGAUUCGCAGUCUUCCCACACAUAUGACAAGAAAUGUCUGAACGUGGAAAGCAAGGAACGGAGUUGGAUAAUGGACGUGUAAAGCGUCACCGUUACUGAAAGUGAUUCGUGACAACGUCCGGUGCAUCACCAAGGCACGAGUCUUUCCGAGACAUAGACAAGCAAGGCCUGCCGGGAAAAUGUGGGCAAAGGAGGUGCCAGGCAUCCGAGGAGACAGUGGUCCUGGCGGAAGCCGUCUUGGUGCCACUUCCCAUAGUUGGAUUCGUUGAAAGUCGUCUUCAUCAGUUUCUUGAGAAGACAUUUCAUAACUGGAUGUUUAGAGGACAGUCCGUAUGUCAAUCAUCUCUACAAGACCUGAUGGACAUCAGUCUUUCACGGACAUAUGACAAGAAAUGCCUGGACUUGCUAAGGGCGAAGGAGCUGGGAAUGGAGGCUUCAGGUGCUACCAUCACUGACGGUGCUUCGUGGCAACAUCCAGUUCAUCACCAAGCCAAGGAGUCAUUCAGUCUUUCCAAGGCUCCUUUUGCACGCAGGGCUUCAGCCCGUUUCUGUGUUAUACAGGCCCAAUGUGUGACUGGUUUGGUUUCUGUGGCUGUGUCGAUGGUCGGCAUUGUUUUUAGCGUAACUCUAAAUUCUGUUUUUUAGAAAACAGGAACUUUCCUGGUUCACCAUCUGGUGUCAUAUCUGUUUUAUGUCGUGGUCAGUGGUUGUCGGGGACCUAGACCAUUACAUAAUCUGCCUCGUGUCGUUAUCUUGGGUCCCGAACCAAGAAAACGACACAGGCCAGAAAUGAAGACAGGUGGUUGAAGAGCCUAUUUGAUAUUAGUAGUUUAGUCCUUUAGACACACUAUACUUUUUGGUGUCGACACAGUCACAGAAACCGAAUCAUUGCAGACAGAAUGCAAAGUGUACAUUAUGUAUAUCAAGAUGUUAGAUUCAUGUAGUUAAGCUUGCCUAUUCCCAUAUUUUUGAGUCAAGCUUCAUGUUGGUCUCGUAUUGCAAAGAGGUUUGGAGAUACUGAGCUGUGUAGACAUGCGUCUUUUGUAAGUAGUCUUUGUUUUGAAUAUAUCAUAUCAUGCCAUUCCAGUACAGGGUGACUGUCUUUUGUUGUCACUUAGCCUUUGUGUUAAAAAUGCAUUUCAAUUGUAUUAUUGUAAUUCAGUAGAUCGAUUAAUAUUGCCCGUUUAUUGAUGAGUAUAGGUUGUUUGUAGCCUUUUAAGUCAGUCAUUUGGAAAAAUCCCUAUACCUAAGGCUUAGGCUGACGCUGAUACUAACACAAAGACACAGACACGCACACACACUAACAAACUAACCCUUCCAAACACACAAUAACAUACUGAUGCAACAUCUUUUUGUCGAACACUAAUAAUCAGCUCUGCCUAAGCCUUAGACUACAAAAUAACUUUGUAUUCUUCGUCAAGUACAAAGGCGCCAAGCUACCUCUAUACCAUGUAAUGACAAUGUUACAUUUACUGAUCUGAUUUUGGCUCUGUUGGCCACCGUGUCCUAGAGUAAGGGUAAUUGUUAAUCUAUGUAUGGAAGAUGUUAAGAUUUCAGUUCAAUUUUUAAAGUUUUAUAUAGUGCUUGUGUAUUUUUCUCAAUUCAUUGUGUGUUUUCUAGAUUUGCACACAUAUGUUUGCAUAUAUCUAUUUUGUCAAUAAUUGCUAUCAAAUAAACAGUUUGAAAUCAAA